UACGGGUAGGUCAUAGUGUUACUCAUCAUGACUGGGCGUAAAGGGUAAGUAGGCGGUUUCCUAUGCCGGUGGGUGACGAUGCGAUUUCGCUAAUUUGCUUCUCAGGGACAGGGAGACUACGGGGUAACUCCGGGACUGCGGUAUUCUCGAUGUAGCGGUGCAAUGUCGUAGAAAUCGAGAAGAUCGGCCAUACUCGAAGGUAGCUUUCUGGGAGUUUAUCUGACGCUGAGGGACGAAAGCGUGGGGAGCAAACAGG
rnacentral:misc_RNA from 1 species